AACUCUUAGCAGUGGAUCGCUUGGCUUGUGUAUCGAUAAAGAAUGCAGCUAGCUGCAAGAAUUAAUGCGACUUGCAGGACACAUUGAUCACUUUGAAUGUACUUGUGGCCCCUGCUCCUCCUGGGGAUACACCUGUCUGAGCAUCA
rnacentral:rRNA from 1 species